rnacentral:lncRNA from 1 species
GGGAUUUGGAGAGCCUUGCUGAGAAAUCAGGACAGUUACCAUACAUCUGAAGGCUGUCAUUGAGAAAGGAAAGAACUGCGUAUCCGUGAGAAAUACACUCUGUAGAAUAUUCAUUUUCCCCUGGGUUCUUUUAGAAGAAUACCAUGAACCAACCUUGUACUUCCAAAAUUCUUGACCCCACCCUUUUGGUCUUCUAAACCUAGUAUUUUGAAUGUCUGCCCAGUGAAUUUCUUCUUAUUCUUCAAAGCCCAUCUCAUCACCACAGAACCUCCUCUAAAAGAUCUUUCCCAGGUACUUUUGAUGCUACUCCCCAAAUAUAUCCCAAAUCCAUCACCUUUGUCCACGUCCACACCACCAUCUUAGUCCAAGUCACUAUUAUCAUUCACCCGCACUAUUGCAGGCUUCUCCUACCCAGUCUUCCUGCUUACAGCCUUACCCUCCACAGACUCCUCUCCACACAACAGCCAGAAUUAAGUGUUUUAAGUAUAUACCAGUGCAUAUAACUACAAUUACACUCAGAGUAAAAUUCCGUCUAACACUUACCAGGGCCCACACAGCCCUACGGAAGCUGGCUUGGGACAGCUCCGAUGUCUUCACCUCUCACCAAGCUCCUCUGAGCUCCUGCUGCACCAAGAGGAGUCAGCCUUGUGCAUUCCCUGGAGCCUUAGAUUUGCUGUCCUCCCUCCCUGUAACCCUCCUCUCCCAAGCCCCACAGAUCAGAUCUUCCCAUGACUGGUUCCUCAUCCUUCAGUUCUCAGCUCCCCAAAGAGGCCUGUCUAGACCAAGCCACCACAAGCAAUUCCCACUCCCCACCCCAGUCACUGUCACACCACCCUGUUUAUUGCCUUCACAGCACUCCUCACUGUCUAGAAUUAGACACAUUUUUAAGUUGUUUAUUACAGCUCUUUCCCUGCUAGAAGGUCAGCUCCACAAAAAUAGAGAGCUGAACGGGAUGGCUGUGAGAAAGCCAGGGGAGACACAAUGGACCUGCUCUUUCCACAAAGGAAAGAAGCCACUCUUGGUUCUCAUACUAUUCACACUUCC